rnacentral:rRNA from 1 species
GAUGAACGCUGGCGGCGUGCCUAAUACAUGCAAGUCGAGCGAACAGAUUAGUAGCUUGCUCCUCUGACGUUUGCGGCGGACGUGUGAAUAACACGUGUAUUACCUCCCUCUCUUCCUGGUAUAACUUCGGGAAUCCGGCUCUAAUCCCGUAUAAUAUUUUUAACCACAUGGUUCUAUAGUGUAAUUCGGUUUUGCAUUCACUUAUAGAUUAAUCCGCGCCGCAUUAGCUAGUUGGUUAGGUAACGGCUUACCAAGGCCACGACGCGUAGCCGACCUGAGAGAGUGAUAGGCGACACUGGAACUGAGACACGGUCAAGACGACUAAGGGAGGCAGCAGAAGGGAAUCGGACGCAAUGGGCGAAAGCAUGACGGAGCAACGGCGCGUGAGUGAUGAAGGUCUUGGGAGCGUAAAGAUCGGUUAUGAGGGAAGAACAAAUGUGGAAGUAAAUAUGCACGAAUUGACGGUACCUAAUCAGAAAGCCACGGCUAACUACGUG